rnacentral:rRNA from 2 species
UGCAGUCGACGAACUCUGGUAUUGAUUGGUGCUUGCAUCAUGAUUUACAUUUGAGUGAGUGGCGAACUGGUGAGUAACACGUGGGAAACCUGCCCAGAAGCGGGGGAUAACACCUGGAAACAGAUGCUAAUACCGCAUAACAACUUGGACCGCAUGGUCCGAGUUUGAAAGAUGGCUUCGGCUAUCACUUUUGGAUGGUCCCGCGGCGUAUUAGCUAGAUGGUGGGGUAACGGCUCACCAUGGCAAUGAUACGUAGCCGACCUGAGAGGGUAAUCGGCCACAUUGGGACUGAGACACGGCCCAAACUCCUACGGGAGGCAGCAGUAGGGAAUCUUCCACAAUGGACGAAAGUCUGAUGGAGCAACGCCGCGUGAGUGAAGAAGGGUUUCGGCUCGUAAAACUCUGUUGUUAAAGAAGAACAUAUCUGAGAGUAACUGUUCAGGUAUUGACGGUAUUUAACCAGAAAGCCACGGCUAACUACGUGCCAGCAGCCGCGGUAAUACGUAGGUGGCAAGCGUUGUCCGGAUUUAUUGGGCGUAAAGCGAGCGCAGGCGGUUUUUUAAGUCUGAUGUGAAAGCCUUCGGCUCAACCGAAGAAGUGCAUCGGAAACUGGGAAACUUGAGUGCAGAAGAGGACAGUGGAACUCCAUGUGUAGCGGUGAAAUGCGUAGAUAUAUGGAAGAACACCAGUGGCGAAGGCGGCUGUCUGGUCUGUAACUGACGCUGAGGCUCGAAAGUAUGGGUAGCAAACAGGAUUAGAUACCCUGGUAGUCCAUACCGUAACGAUGA